UACGUAGGGUGCGAGCGUUAAUCGGAAUUACUGGGCGUAAAGCGUGCGCAGGCGGUGAUGUAAGACAGGUGUGAAAUCCCCGGGCUUAACCUGGGAACUGCAUUUGUGACUGCAUCGCUGGAGUGCGGCAGAGGGGGAUGGAAUUCCGCGUGUAGCAGUGAAAUGCGUAGAGAUGUGGAGGAAUACCGAUGGCGAAGGCAGCCCCCUGGGCCAAUACUGACGCUCAAGCACGAAAGCGUGGGGAGCAAACAGG
rnacentral:rRNA from 1 species